rnacentral:sRNA from 1 species
AACGACCCGAAGGGUGAGGCGCGAAGCGACGAAUAAUCCUUCCCCCGCCACCA